rnacentral:rRNA from 1 species
CAGGUAGGGCUACCCGCUGAACUUAAGCAUAUCAAUAAGCGGAGGAAAAGAAACUAACUAGGAUUCCCUUAGUAACGGCGAGUGAACCGGGAUGAGCUCAAAUUUAAAAUCUGGCGUCUUUCAGGCGUCCGAGUUGUAAUCUAUAGAGGCGUUUUCCGCGCCGGACCGCGUCCAAGUCUCUUGGAAUAGAGUAUCAAAGAGGGUGACAAUCCCGUACUUGACGCGACAACCGGUGCUCUGUGAUACGUUCUCAAUGAGUCGAGUUGUUUGGGAAUGCAGCUCUAAAUGGGUGGUAAAUUCCAUCUAAGGCUAAAUAUUGGCGAGAGACCGAUAGCGAACAAGUACCGUGAGGGAAAGAUGAAAAGCACUUUGGAAAGAGAGUUAAACAGCACGUGAAAUUGUUAAAAGGGAAACGAUUGAAGUCAGUCGUGUGAAAGGUAUUCAGCCGUCUCUGGCGGUGUAUUUGCCUUUCACGGGUCAACAUCAGUUUGAUCCGGUAGAAAAAGGCGGGAGGAA